rfam:Camelus ferus unplaced genomic scaffold scaffold518, whole genome shotgun sequence.
GGAGGGGAAAGCCUAGGGGUAGAGUGUGUGCCUGGCAUGCACAAGGUCCUGGGUUCAAUCCCCAGCACCUCCA